rnacentral:rRNA from 1 species
UACAGAGGCCCCAAGCGUUACUGAGAAUCACUGGGUUUAAAGGGUGCGUAGGUGGCGCGUUAAGUCCGUUGUGAAAUCCCUGGGCUCAACCCAGGAAUUGCUUCGGAUACUGGCGUGCUUGAGGCUAGUAGGGGUCACUGGAACUGACGGUGGAGCGGUGAAAUGCGUAGAUAUCGUUAGGAACGCCGAUGGUGAAGACAGGUGACUGGGCUAGUUCUGACACUGAGGCACGAAAGCGUGGGGAGCGAACGGG